AGGUGAUGCUAGUGAUAAUCACGCAGAGUCUUUGACUGUUGUGAUGCCCUCACUGGGCAUCCUUGCUGAGGGGCCAAUGGUGCAGGUGGAUCUCUUUUUUGCAGGUACAGAAGGACGUGCUCUGUAGAUUAUUCCAGCAGAUAAGUUUCUUUCUGAGAAACAAGCUCAACCAGGAGAUGUUGCCAUGAAAUCUGGACCUUUUAAGGUAAGUCAAGUAUUUGCAGUAACAGAUGAAAUUUUAUAUGUGUCACUGUGGAACAACAGUGCUAGACAUGACAGGUGAGGCUUCCUUUUGUACCAUCCCCACUGAACAUUUCUCAAAGAACUUUCUGUGAAAAUUCUUUGCCUCUUCUACCCUGUGGGUAGGCCAGAACUGCAUGUAUCCUUCAGUUUCUGGAGCUGAUCUGUCGUGCUACAGCACAGCAUUAAGCAUUAUUCAUUAUGUUUGUAGCCCUUACCUACCAUAGCUCCAUUUCUACUCCCAGCACAGCAAGCAGCAGGUCUGUUUUAUCUGGUGAGAGCACAGCAUGAAGUGGGCUGCUGAGACUACUGGCAUCCAGCAUGACGCCCUCUACAGUCCCAGGCAAUGCACUGUUCUGGAAUAGCACAGAAGUGAUGAAAUCAAUGGGAAUGUUACAAAAGCACAGCUUCCACCGUAUGUUUCCUGGAGCUUGCUCUGACACCAGUAUGCCAUGUGUCCUACUCUCCCCAUGUUGCCACACAAACCUCGCGAUGCCUUGGCUCUCUGCACAGUCCUGAAACUGUUGUACACAUUGCUGGGGAUCCUACUUUCACAUGGGAGCCGCUUCUGAAAAAUCCCUAAUGCUAAGGGUACAGCUGCUUGCAGCCACAGCACUCAGAAGAGGCACGAUAUUUUUCAUAAUUUGCGGACCAUGUAUGCAUACUUUAGACAUUUCUCUAUCUGCAGAACAUGUGGAUCUGAACUCUGUCUCCCACUGUACAUUCCAGUGCCUGAAUGUUAAGGGUUCCUCUUCUCAGUCAACCAGUGCAAUGUAUGGACCAGAUCUCUGUGCUGAGUCUAAAAUAAUCUAUUUGGUUCUAUCUCCACCCUACUAAGUAACUGUAGAUGAGAUGCAUUAAUGGUCUUUGCCUCACUUUUUUUUCUCUGUAAAACUGUGGUAGUGAUCCUGGUUUAUUUGUAGAAAACAAAGUUCAACUGAUGAGAAGAGCUAUCAAAGAGCUAAGUGUUGUCAUUACCUGAGCGAUCUUUUCAUUUCUCCAUUAAUCUUGUAAAAGACACAAGUACUCUGCUUACCAAACCUCAUCUACAAGACGGUACAAUGGUGAGGACUCAUUACAAAUUAUAGAAAAAAAAUUCUGGAAAACAGAUCCUUUUGUCUUGCCCCAGUGGUGCCAAUUGGACUAGGAGGCUUUUUAAAAUGAGAAUUUAUCUUUACAAAGAUUUGUAGCCAAGCCUUUCCAGUUUGUUAAAAUGUAAUUAAUGUCUGCUUGUUAAUAUGAUGUUCAUUGAUUUUUAAAGUACACAGACUUCAAAGCAGAAAAUAAAUAAAUAAAAAGAGAGAUAAUUCAAACCAGAGUGGAACAGCUCGGACAGUUUUACUCUUUUGCCAGGAUCCCAAAGCUGUUGUGUUCAAACAAUGCCACAGUUUGAGUGGAAAUGUGAGAUUAAAUCCAAACCCCACAUGUCAGCUUUUUUGCAAAUGACUAUCCAGGAUUUCACUAAAAUGUUCAACCACAACAGAUCAUGUUGCAGGGAUUUUUAUUGCUUAACAGCUCGUGAUAGUCUUCUGUUUCUCUACUAUGCAUAAUAGGCCCAUGCAUCUAGAAACUAGUAAAUAUCAGUGAAAUGUUGGUACCUAACUCUGUUAGACGCUUUGGAAGGAGUAUUUCAAAUCGUCAAAAGAGGAAAGAGUUUACAAAGAUGAUGGGUGGUUACAGAAGCUCCCAGUGACAUAUCAAUGCAGUGUGGCACACAAGGGAACGUACUCGGUAUGGAACAGAAUUUUAUCACAGUAAUGGAGAAAAGAUGCAAGAAUCAGAUGGAGAUAAUUUCAAAUUCAUGCAGGAGUUCAAAGCUGUGGCUGAGGAAUGACACAAGGAGACUGCAGAACUCCAGAGAACACCUUCUGAAAAAGGCUUGGAGGACAGAAAAGUGAAAAUAAUCAUCCAUGGAAGAAGACUAUGCAAGUACAAGAGAGAGGAUGGAAAUGGCCACUGCAGGAGAGAUGAAGCAGAGCAACACACUUGCUUGACUGGAGAAGGAAAACAUUUCACUAGCAAAGAAGAAAGGAAGGGAAAAUAUCCCCCUAAGACAAAAUAAGACAGUGGAGACAAGCAGGAUUGAGACUCAACAGGACAGAAUGAGGGAGAAAAGAAGACAGAUUGAUUUUCAGACAAGCAAAAGAGAAGAGGGGAUCCCACCACACCACUGAGACCUGUGUGUCUGUGACUGUGGACAAGUCUCUUAAUUGCUUAGAACAAGGGAGGAACAAUGUCAAGCUGAAAGACAGAGAGAUGCCUUCUCUCCCAUAGCUAGGAAUGUAAGAUGUGCACAGGUGGCAAAGAGAAUAAGUAAAGGUGAUGGUAGCAAGGACUGUAUUUCAUUCAGGACAAAAUGGAAACAUGUCAAGAAUAAAUCUAAUGGGAAGAGGACAGUACUUUAAGAUAGAGAUGCUCCAGUAGUUUUUCUACUGAAUUCUUCCAGUUCUUGUGGAAAAUUAUAAGUGAAGGAAAAGUGAUACAGGCUCUCAGAAAUAGAUCUGUGAAGGAAAUCUGAGGAUGUUUUAAUACUGAGAGGCAAACACCUGAAGCAGGUACUUCUCUGAAGGUGGUCUCCAUUUGGCUGCUUGUGACACCAGCCUUCCAGUGAGUAAAGGUACCUCUCAGGUGUAAAAUAGCAGGAAGUGGGCAUGAGAGUACUGUCUGAUCUAACCGACAGGGAAAGAAAAAAACUUGAUAUGAAAUAUAGUAAGGGAUGACAGUCCUCAAAAGAGAAAAGUGCACUGAAAUAGAAGUAUUAAUCCUCCACUGGUCCCAGUGUGAGAAGAUAAUUUUCUCUAAAAAGUUUGAAAUUGCCAUUCACUUUGUAAUGGCGGAUUUACUGUAGGAUGCCAUCCAUGGUGAGCACAGAAGGAGGUUAGCUGUGUGAGAACAUCUAAGCCUUCAUUCCUGUACUGCAUACAGUGUAAGUGUUGUGGUCUCUUUCUGUUCUUUGAAAACUGAGGGGCCACCUAAGAUAAAAUGCUUCAUCGUUAUCCCAGACAGUCUUGACAGGAGAGGUAGUCAAUGCGAACACUGUCCCAGGAGGUAAAAAAAAAGAAAGAAAGAAAGAAAGAAAGAUUGGAGACAAAUAGACAGAUCACUGAGUUCAGGAUUAUCUGCUUGCUUUAGAAAUUGCAUUUUGCAAUAGUCUCCCCAUCUGAGUGAUCACACCGGGACCAGGCUGCAGGCAUGGCUUCAUCUAAACUUUCACGAGUAAGUCUUUCUUACCUUGGCUCACUUAGACUUAACUAAGAGCAUAGAUAGGAGCAUCUCCAUUCACAAAGGUAGCAGCACAGUUUAGAUGAUAGUAGCUUUCAGAAGAGGGGUGAUAUUGAUCACCAUGAGGGAGCAGCAGCUGCUUUCCUUGCUAUUUCUGAAGGCAGCAGGGAUAGUUGCCUUUGGAUUUGUCCAAAGUUGCAGCACGUCUACAUAAAUUUAAGUCACCAGCAGCCAAAACUAAACCAAUGAAGAUCUUAGAAAUUUUGAGUAUGGAGUCAGUUCAAGGCCCCUCUAAGUCAAAAUUGAUUUUGGGGAUUUGCAUCUCAGCAGCAUAGCUGCAGGGAGUCCUGAGG
rnacentral:lncRNA from 1 species